rnacentral:lncRNA from 1 species
UUUGAUUUGAUUUGAUUUGAUUUGAUUUGAUUUGAUUUGAUUUGAUUUGAUUUGAUUUGAUUUGAUUUGAUUUGAUUUGUACCCCGCCUAUCUGGACCAAUGGAACACUCUAGGUGGCUUCCAACAUAAAAUUUAAACAAUAAAGACAGCAAAUACAUAAAAUACAAAACAGCUAUAAUAAAAAUAAAAAUAGGAAAAAUAAGAAGAAGAAAAUCAAGAGUUUGCUGGAGGGAAGGCCUGAGUGAAGAACCAUGUUUUUAGUUGGGUUUUAAAGAUGCCCAGUGUAGUAAUGCCAUGUAUAAAUAUUUGCCGUGCUAUGUCAUUUCCCCUUAUGUCUGAGGAAGUGGGCUUGUCUGUAUUCAGCUGUGGAUCCAGAGGUUGGGAGUUCGAUUCCCCCACUGGGCCUCGUUGACAGGGGCUGGACUUGAUGAUCCCGAGUGCCCCUUCCAGCUCUGCCGUUCGUUCCAAGAUUGUUCUGAUUAUUCCUGUUCACAAAUGCUCACAUUAAAGAAAUAUAAGCUGCCACCACGUUUUUGUCUUCUUUACUAGUUCUUUUAAUUUUUUUUACUUUAAUUUUUCCCUAUAAGAAUUGCAUACGUAAACAAAGCACGUGUUUACUGUGGACGAGAGGAAAGGCCACUGCAGGGAUGCUUCAAAGAAGUACUUUCCAUGCCACGAACCCACACACACACAUUAAAGCCCAGUUUCAGAAAUAUAAGCUGCCACCACGUUUUUGUCUUCUUUACUAGUUCUUUUAAUUUUUUUUACUUUAAUUUUUCCCUAUAAGAAUUGCAUACGUAAACAAAGCACGUGUUUACUGUGGACGAGAGGAAAGGCCACUGCAGGGAUGCUUCAAAGAAGUACUUUCCAUGCCACGAACCCACACACACACAUUAAAGCCCAGUUUCUCCAGUUUGGGCAAAGGGCCCGAAAGACAAGCGCCCAGCUCGACUGGUUGGACAACAGCUGGCAUCGGGCAACAAGGGCCUGAGGGGAAGCCCGCAGAGUUCCUCGAAAGAGGCGGUGCAGGGGGCAACGGGAUGGGGCAGGCCCCUGAGCAGCCCCCGAGCCCUGCUCCUCCCCAUGGCCGGCCGGACCCGCAAAGGCACAUUGGAAGGGACUCGCCCUCACAGUAGGAAUCUUCUGAUGAGAAUGCCUUGAAUUUCAAAAAAUAGAAAGCAGGAGAAAUAUUGCUACAUUAGUACAUCUACGUAGCAGACAAAAAGGUAAGGGGAUGAAAGCACAGAUUUGGGUUGUCAAACAAAGAUGUUAGCAACAUUUGAGAAGUGUUGCUAUAGUGCAGUGGUAGAUACUUCCCCCUGCUGUUCUUCGUAGGGAGUGGGUGACAUUCUUGGGGAGGUCACAUCCUGUUCCUGUUAUGCUCUCUUUGUGGAGCUGUCAUAAGAAAAAGUUCAGAAAAUUCAGCAAAUGCCACUGUCAGAUAGUUAACUGGAGCUACUUACAGGGAAUCACAUAACUCACGU